GACGAACGCUGGCGGCGUGCCUAAUACAUGCAAGUCGAGCGCAGGAAAUCAUCCGAACCCUUCGGGGGGGACGUUGAUGGAAUGAGCGGCGGACGGGUGAGUAACACGUAAAGAACCUGCCCUCCGGUCUGGGAUAACCCCGAGAAAUCGGGGCUAAUACCGGAUGGGUCAUCGGACCGCAUGGUCCGAGGAUGAAAGGCGCUUCGGCGUCGCCGGGGGACGGCUUUGCGGUGCAUUAGCUAGUUGGUGGGGUAAUGGCCCAACAAGGCGACGAUGCAUAGCCGACCUGAGAGGGUGACCGGCCACACUGGGACUGAGAUACGGCCCAGACUCCUACGGGAGGCAGCAGUAGGGAAUAUUGCGCAAUGGACGAAAGUCUGACGCAGCAACGCCGCGUGGAUGAUGAAGUAUUUCGGUACGUAAAAUCCUUUCGACAGGGAAGAAACGUAGGAGACGUAACUGGCUCUUACCUGACGGUACCUGUAGAAGAAGUCCCGGCUAACUCCGUGCCAGCAGCCGCCGUAAAAC
rnacentral:rRNA from 1 species